ACGUAGGUGGCAAGCGUUGUCCGGAAUUAUUGGGCGUAAAGCGCACGUAGGCGGCUUAGCAAGUCGGAAGUGAAAUCCCACGGCUCAACCAUGGAAGUGCUUUCGAAACUGCUGAGCUUGAGUACGAAAGAGGAUCGCGGAAUUCCCGGUGUAGAGGUGAAAUUCGUAGAUAUCGGGAGGAACACCAGUGGCGAAGGCGGCGAUCUGGGUCGAUACUGACGCUGAGGUGCGAAAGCGUGGGGAGCAAACAGGA
rnacentral:rRNA from 1 species